UGAGAGUUUGAUCCUGGCUCAGAGCGAACGCUGGCGGCAGGCUUAACACAUGCAAGUCGAGCGGGUGUAGCAAUACAUCAGCGGCAGACGGGUGAGUAACGCGUGGGAACGUACCUUUUGGUUCGGAACAACCCAGGGAAACUUGGGCUAAUACCGGAUACNCCCUUACGGGGAAAGAUUUAUCGCCGAAAGAUCGGCCCGCGUCUGAUUAGCUAGUUGGUGAGGUAAUGGCUCACCAA
rnacentral:rRNA from 1 species